rnacentral:rRNA from 1 species
AUUGAACGCUGGCGGCAGGCCUAACACAUGCAAGUCGAACGGCAGCAGGGUGCUAGCUUCUGCUUACGGGGGGCGAGUGGUGGGUGAUGGCGAGGUACAUGGCAAUUUAUUUGUUCGUGGGUGAUAACGUGGGCACUAUUACGCCAAUCGCGCAGACGACCAACGUGUGGGAGCAGCGGAUCUUCGGCUCUCGCGCGAGUGUAUGACCGGAUGUCGGAUUAGCUAGUUGGCGGGGUAAAGGCCCACCAAGGCGACGAUCCGUAGCUGGUCUGAGAGGAUGAUCAGCCACACUGGAACUGAGACACGGUCCAGACUCCUACGGGAGGCAGCAGUGGGGAAUAUUGGACAAUGGGCGAAAGCCUGAUCCAGCCAUGCCGCGUGGGUGAAGAAGGUCUUCGGGUUGUAAAGCCCUUUUAGUGGGGAGGAAGGGCAGUAAGUUAAUACCUUGCUGUUUUGACGGUACCAAAAGAAUAAGCACCGGCUAACUUCGUG